rnacentral:lncRNA from 1 species
AUUAUCCUGUGUGUGUGUGCUGUGGCAAAGCAGUGACUGUUUAUCUCGUGGGCCACUGUUAAUGCAAGGAGAAGGGGAAGAAGGAGAGGAAAGAGCUCUGCAUGCAAAAUGUCUCCUGAACAAGACCAGGAACCUCCUGCUUGGAACAGAAGCCUCCUCUGACCCAGCUGCAUGCUGCUGCCAUUGGAAUGAUGUGGGAUACCGAGUGCUGUAUACAUUUCUGCCUAGAAAAGCUGGUAUUUCUUCCUUCCUGAAGACACAGAAACUUCUGUUUUUGGCAUGCUGUUUCUCUGUGGGUCUUCAGAUCAAAACAAGAGACCUGGUCAAAAAGAAAAAAAGAAGAAAACAGAAAAAAAACCCAACGUCAAAUAAAGUGACACUGUGUUGCUGGCUAGAAUCCUUAAUCUCUCCUGAUAGCACAGGAAGGCUUGUAGACUUCCACAGCAAAGGACUCAGGUUGGUAUUUAAAUUUAUUUGA